UACGUAGGGUGCGAGCGUUAAUCGGAAUUACUGGGCGUAAAGUGUGCGCAGGUGGCCGCGCAAGUCGAGUGUGAAAUCCCCGAGCUUAACUUGGGAAUUGCGCUCGAAACUACGUGGCUCGAGUGUGGCAGAGGAAGGUGGAAUUCCACGUGUAGCGGUGAGAUGCGUAGAGAUGUGGAGGAACACCGAUGGCGAAGGCAGCCUUCUGGGCCAACACUGACGCUCAUGCACGAAAGCGUGGGGAGCAAACAGG
rnacentral:rRNA from 1 species